rnacentral:rRNA from 1 species
CCUACGGGUGGCAGCAGUGGGGAAUAUUGCGCAAUGGGCGAAAGCCUGACGCAGCGACGCCGCGUGAGGGAUGAAGGUCUUCGGAUCGUAACCCUCUGUCAGCAGGGAAGAACGGUCACUGUGCUAAUCAGCAGUGCAUUUACGGUACCUGCACAGGAAGCACCGGCUAACUCCGUUCCAGCAGCCGCGGUACUACGGAGGGUUCGAGCGUUAAUCGGAAUUACUGGGCGUAAAGCGCUCGUAGGCGGUAUGUCAAGUCAAGGGUGAAAUCACCGCGCUCAACGUGGGAACUGCAUUUGAAACUGGCAAACUUGAGUGUGUGAGAGGAGAGUGGAAUUCCAGGUGUAGGAGUGAAAUCCGUAGAUAUCUGGAGGAAAAUCAGUGGCGAAGGCGACUAUCUGGCACAUAACUGACGCUGAGGAGCGAAAGCGUGGGUAGCAAACAGGAUUAGAUACCCUUGUAGUC